rnacentral:tRNA from 1 species
GGAGGAUAUCCGAAUUGGUGAGGAGGCUGAUUCGAAAUCAGUUGCCCCGCAAGGGGUUGCGGGUUCGAGUCCCGUGUCCUCCGC